UGGGGAAUAUUGCGCAAUGGGGGAAACCCUGACGCAGCGACGCCGCGUGGGUGAGGAAGGUUUUAGGAUCGUAAAGCCCUGUCAAGUGGGAAGAAGAAAGUGACGGUACCACUAAAGGAAGCACCGGCUAACUCCGUGCCAGCAGCCGCGGUAAUACGGAGGGUGCAAGCGUUAUUCGGAUUUAUUGGGCGUAAAGAGAGCGUAGGCGGUCUGUUAAGUCAGGGGUGAAAGCCCUGGGCUCAACCCAGGAAGUGCCUUUGAUACUGGCAGACUUGAGUACGAGAGAGGGUAGCGGAAUUCCAAGUGUAGAGGUGAAAUUCGUAGAUAUUUGGAGGAACACCGGUGGCGAAGGCGGCUACCUGGACCGAUACUGACGCUGAGGCUCGAAAGCGUGGGGAGCAAACA
rnacentral:rRNA from 1 species